CGAAUGCUGACAUAAGUAACGAUAAAGCGGGUGAAAAGCCCGCUCGCCGGAAGACCAAGGGUUCCUGUCCAACGUUAAUCGGGGCAGGGUGAGUCGACCCCUAAGGCGAGGCCGAAAGGCGUAGUCGAUGGGAAACAGGUUAAUAUUCCUGUACUUGGUGUUACUGCGAAGGGGGGACGGAGAAGGCUAUGUUGGCCGGGCGACGGUUGUCCCGGUUUAAGCGUGUAGGCUGGUUUUCCAGGCAAAUCCGGAAAAUCAAGGCU
rnacentral:rRNA from 1 species